rnacentral:rRNA from 1 species
GAUGAACGCUGGCGGCGUGCCUAAUACAUGCAAGUCGAACGAAACUUCUUUAUCACCGAGUGCUUGCACUCACCGAUAAAGAGUUGAGUGGCGAACGGGUGAGUAACACGUGGGCAACCUGCCCAAAAGAGGGGGAUAACACUUGGAAUCAGGUGCUAAUACCGCAUAACCAUAGUUACCGCAUGGUAACUAUGUAAAAGGUGGCUAUACUACCGCUUUUGGAUGGGCCCGCGGCGCAUUAGCUAGUUGGUAGGGUAAAGGCUUACCAAGGCAAUGAUGCGUAGCCGAAUUGAGAGGUUGAUCGGCCACAUUGGGACUGAGACACGGCCCAAACUCCUACGGGAGGCAGCAGUAGGGAAUCUUCCACAAUGGGCGAAAGCCUGAUGGAGCAACGCCGCGUGGGUGAAGAAGGUCUUCGGAUCGUAAAACCCUGUUGUUAGAGAAGAAAGUGCGUGAGAGUAACUGUUCACGUUUCGACGGUAUCUAACCAGAAAGCCACGGCUAACUACGUG